GAGACUCUGUGCGCGUGCAUAUCAAUAAGCGGAGGAAAAGAAACUAACAAGGAUUCCCUAGUAACGGCGAGUGAAGCGGGAAGAGCUCAAAUUUGAAAUCUUCAAGGUUCUACCUUGACGAAUUGUAGUUUAUAGAAGUGUUUUCUGUUAGUAGAGUGGCAAAAGUUCUUUGGAAUAGGACAUCAUAGAGGGUGAGAAUCCCGUAUUUGGUCAUUCUUUCUAGCUUUGUGAUACACUUUCAACGAGUCGGAUUGUUUGGGAAUGCAGUCCAAAAUGGGUGGUAAAUUUCAUCUAAAGCUAAAUAUUGGCGAGAGACCGAUAGCGAACAAGUACCGGUGAGGGAAAGAUGAAAAGAACUUUGAAAAGAGAGUUAAACAGUACGUGAAAUUGUCAAAAGGGAAGCGUAUGACACCAAUGUUGUUUUUUCCGAAAAUCAAUUACGAAUGUUUUAGUUUUUGAGGAGUUAUGACUUCAUCGGCUUGCUCCUUUCUUUACGAAACUUUCUUAAUGCACUUUUCGGUUAACAAGUCAACAUCAAUUUCUUUUGUUGUAAAAGGGUACGAGGAAGGUGGCUUUCUUUUCGGAGAAAGUGUUUAUAGCCUUGUACCUCUGCAAUCGGAGAGAUUGAGGUCUGCAGCGUAGAUCCUUCGGGGUUAGAUGUAUUUGUGCUAAGUUAUAGCCUUUCAUAGACAACUUGUUGACUAUGAUCAGUCAUGUAGCUUACUCGCUUAUGCUAUUUUACCUACGCUUAGGAUGUUGAUCUGUAGUGCGUGCGC
rnacentral:rRNA from 1 species